rnacentral:lncRNA from 1 species
AAGUAAACAAAAAUAAUCAUAUUAAAAGUACAAUAUGAUUGUACAUGUAUUCUAGCAUAAUAUUGAUUGCUUCAAGAGAAAUAAUUUUUAUAAACAUCGGCUUGAAGAGGAAUAUUUCCUGUAAACAUCUAUAAAUGUCUCAUUAGCAAAUCAUUGAAGUACUCUUCCUCGUUCUGUUUGUAACAUCUGCCAAUUAAAAAUAAGUAGUAUAGAAGUGACUGCAAAAAGAUAAACAUCAAACUACUCAAGUAGGACAACAAUAGAACAAACCAAUCAUCCUCAAUUUCAUAAUGUCGAAGCUUAAUUUGAACACUAAAUUGACUCCAAAUCAUCUUUAUUUUUUCGCGUUUUGGAGAAUAAUAUUAGACAAAGGUUAAUUAUACAUGCAAUAUUCAUAAGAACUAUAAAAUAUGAAGAAUGUAAUUUUUUAAAGCUUUAUAGAACAAAAAGAUUGAUCUCGAGACACAUUAUCUAAUCAUGAAUGAAAAAUCAGAACUUUUAAUUCUCGCUGAUUCUCCAAGAAAUUCUUUCAAUUCAAUGUAAAUCUAAUAACAUACAUUGAGAUUCCUUUCAAUCCAAUUGACUCCUUAAGACAAUAACAAAACUGUAUUUUAUGCAAAUUGAUAUAUAAUAUUUAAAGUAUGAUAUAAUAUUUAAAAAAUAAAUAUGGAUUAAAUUAAAAUUAAAAGUAAAUGCAAAACAGAAAAUGAAUGAUUGUAUGUAAUGUGAAGAAAUAAAAAGAAAGUAGACUAAAACGGAAAGAAAGAGUUCUUUCAGGUUUGGUUUCUAUUUUUUUUACCCUAUUGCUGAUCAACUUCUUCUCCUCUCUAUGAUUUUCCAUUCUUCACAUCCUCUUUCCAUUAGAAAUUACUCUUUCGGUUAUUUUCUUUCACUAGAUUUUAAAAAGGUAAAAAAAAACUUUCCGCAAAGCAAAAAAAAAAAAGACCAAUGAUGAGAGGGAAUUGACCUUUUGAUUAUGUGUUCGUGUCCCAUUAGUUCUUAUUUGAUUUUAUUUUUAGUUAAUGUGGUGAACCUAUAAACUUUAAAUGCUAUAUUCCCUGUGAUGGUAAUGUGAUUGUUAUUUUAUUACACAUUAUCUUUUUCUUUAUUUUUCUUGUGAUUACAUUUAGCAGCCUAAUGUUGUUUUUCAUCUCUUAUUCUUUAUACAUUCUUUUUGGCUGAUACAUAUCUAUUUGAAACUAUGUAUUCUCAUAUUUUAAAGAUGCAAAUUUUUGUAGCAACAGGUUGAAUAUUAUAAUAGCAUAAACAAUUCUGAAAUAAAAGAAGAUGAAAAUUUAAAGAGAAGAGAAGUUGUUGAUAGUUAAUGCGGUUGAAACCUGUAGCCGUUGGGAUUGAACAAUCUUCCAUCACAAAAAAAUUUGCUUUAAAAGGCUUCCCCUUUUGCCUUCCAACCGCAACUUGAUGCUAACAAAUUGCUCUUAAAAUUUGCUAUUCGUUCUUCUGCACAAAGGAAAAAAAAUGCACUUAAUCCUUUAGUAUAUGUCAGCCAAAUUAAGAAGAAUCAAGGAGAAAUCUUCUCCUUGUCUUUUUGGUAAAUAUUGGUUUUACUGCAGUAUUAAUUGCAUGAUGAUGUUCUAGUGUAAAAACUUUUCUUGACUUUACCGGUGAAAAAAAGGAAAUUUUAGAAAGAGAACUCAAAUAGAAUCUAUAUAGAAUGACAUUUC